rnacentral:rRNA from 1 species
UACACCUGUUUCCAUUCCGAACACAGAAGUUAAG